rnacentral:rRNA from 1 species
GACGAACGCUGGCGGCGUGCUUAACACAUGCAAGUCGAACGGAAAGGCCCUGCUUUUGUGGGGUGCUCGAGUGGCGAACGGGUGAGUAACACGUGAGUAACCUGCCCUUGACUUUGGGAUAACUUCAGGAAACUGGGGCUAAUACCGGAUAGGAGCUCCUGCUGCACGGUGGGGGUUGGAAAGUUUCGGCGGUUGGGGAUGGACUCGCGGCUUAUCAGCUUGUUGGUGGGGUAGUGGCUUACCAAGGCUUUGACGGGUAGCCGGCCUGAGAGGGUGACCGGCCACAUUGGGACUGAGAUACGGCCCAGACUCCUACGGGAGGCAGCAGUGGGGAAUAUUGCACAAUGGGCGGAAGCCUGAUGCAGCAACGCCGCGUGCGGGAUGACGGCCUUCGGGUUGUAAACCGCUUUCGCCUGUGACGAAGCGUGAGUGACGGUAAUGGGUAAAGAAGCACCGGCUAACUACGUGCCAGCAGCCGCGGUGAUACGUAGGGUGCGAGCGUUGUCCGGAUUUAUUGGGCGUAAAGGGCUCGUAGGUGGUUGAUCGCGUCGGAAGUGUAAUCUUGGGGCUUAACCCUGAGCGUGCUUUCGAUACGGGUUGACUUGAGGAAGGUAGGGGAGAAUGGAAUUCCUGGUGGAGCGGUGGAAUGCGCAGAUAUCAGGAGGAACACCAGUGGCGAAGGCGGUUCUCUGGGCCUUUCCUGACGCUGAGGAGCGAAAGCGUGGGGAGCGAACAGGCUUAGAUACCCUGGUAGUCCACGCUGUAAACGGUGGGCACUAGGUGUGGGGUCCAUUCCACGGGUUCCGUGCCGUAGCUAACGCUUUAAGUACCCCGCCUGGGGAGUACGGCCGCAAGGCUAAAACUCAAAGGAAUUGACGGGGCCCCGCACAAGCGGCGGAGCAUGCGGAUUAAUUCGAUGCAACGCGUAGAACCUUACCUGGGUUUGACAUGGAUCGGGAGUGCUCAGAGAUGGGUGUGCCUCUUUUGGGGUCGGUUCACAGGUGGUGCAUGGCUGUCGUCAGCUCGUGUCGUGAGAUGUUGGGUUAAGUCCCGCAACGAGCGCAACCCUUGUUCACUGUUGCCAGCACGUUAUGGUGGGGACUCAGUGGAGACCGCCGGGGUCAACUCGGAGGAAGGUGGGGAUGACGUCAAGUCAUCAUGCCCCUCAUGUCCAGGGCUUCACGCAUGCUACAAUGGCUGGUACAGAGAGUGGCGAGCCUGUGAGGGUGAGCGAAUCUCGGAAAGCCGGUCUCAGUUCGGAUUGGGGUCUGCAACUCGACCUCAUGAAGUCGGAGUCGCUAGUAAUCGCAGAUCAGCAACGCUGCGGUGAAUACGUUCCCGGG